GACGGGGGGGGCAAGUGUUCUUCGGAAUGACUGGGCGUAAAGGGCACGUAGGCGGUGAAUCGGGUUGAAAGUGAAAGUCGCCAAAAAGUGGCGGAAUGCUCUCGAAACCAAUUCACUUGAGUGAGACAGAGGAGAGUGGAAUUUCGUGUGUAGGGGUGAAAUCCGUAAAUAUACGAAGGAACGCCAAAAGCGAAGGACAGCUCUCUGGGUCCCUACCCGACGCUGGGGUGCGAAAGCAUGGGGAGCGAACAGG
rnacentral:rRNA from 1 species